UAAAACUCCAACCACUAGAGGGCGCCUGUGAAACGCAUUUAGACUGAUUUAAAACCGUGUGUGUGUGUGUGUGUGUGUGUGUGUGUGUGAGAGAGAGAGAGAGAGAGAGAGAGAGAGAGAGAGAGAGAGUCUUCUAGCCCUACGCCAGUUUCUGACUACAUAGCUGCUGUUGGAUGGAAAGUUUUGGUUGGUGGACUCCAUCACCUCAAAACCACUCAGUUGCUGUACCUGAUACACUCUUAACCCAGCAACACACUCUACCAUCCUUUAUGAGACAGCAGAGAUGUUGGAGGUUGGAGAACACUGGAGAACCCGGACGAAACCCACACAGACACAUGGAGAACAUUUAUUACACAAUUAUUGGACUGUACGAUAUGGGACUGUGCAAUAAUUAUGGAGUUGUGCAUAAACUGUGGAGUUGUGUAACAGUAACGAGGCUGUGCAAUCACCUCAGGUGAAACACUGUCGUUUUAACUCAGAUGAUGACACUACAUGUGAUGUAUGUAUGUAAAUUUGUGAUUGAAUAUAUUGUGUGCAAUUGUGUAUGUUGUCGCUCAAAGCGUUGAGCCCAAGAAAAGUUUUUCCAGAGUGUAUAUCUUCUCUUAUAUUAUGUACAAAAACUCCACUCAGCCCACAUGGACCACUCCAUUACCCCACCAUGAUGUAUCGCCUGAAGAAAUAAGACCAGGAAAUAUCCACAACACAGCCCAUUCUGUUACUGUGUUCUACCUGGGAUCAACCUUAACAAUCCAAUCCUGGUGAUUAAAGGCACAGUCAAAGAUUUCCAAGUCAAAACACUUUUUAAUACUUGGUGUCGUUUAUUUCCUC
ensembl:lncRNA